CAAAAAGACCGSGAAACCGUUAGGAGGGAAACGAAUGCAGCUGAAGUGGCUCCGUAUCAGGUUCAGGGGACGUCGGAGGGCGAUCCGGGUUGCGGCGGAAKUCGUGCCCGGAGCGGCGGUCGACAAYUCUGCAUUCCUKUUGGGAGCCGGCCAACAGCGGUUGUUUCCGGCCCAGAAGGUCGGUCGGGAGGGGCCCCUGCACUCGKGUAGGGAGCGWAUASCCGUUCGUCCGGKGGUCUGGGAGCGACCGAGGAGAGUCGGGAAUUUUCACGCGGGCAGSSCAGGCCCCUCGGGGCCGGGCCGCCUCUGUCCGUUUGGGUCCCGCGGUGGGGACUGCGUGCAGUGUCCGCUGACGGUUCGCCUGCUCGGUCGGGGGGUCGGCCACGCCUUGCGCUCGGGCUGUUGGKGCUCAAAUGGCUGCAUCCGA
rnacentral:rRNA from 1 species